UCUGAAUUUUGUUUUGCAUUCUUCUUUCUCUGUUUUGCAUAUUUCUCUCGAUCGUUUUGAAGUCGAGUCUCUCGCAAGAAAAUUUGUAGAAGAAGAAGCUUUGUAGCUAUGAUCACGGUAAGAUCCUCCAAUUCUCUUUCUUUUUUUUUGGGUUUCUAAAUUUCAUUCCUAGUUGUUUUGUGUGUAUUUUGUUUUUGUUUUUCGUUUUUUUGUUUUGAAUCGGCUUUGAUAUUCACAUAACCAAACGAAUUGCGACUCCGCGUUCCAAGGUUUAUAUGAAUUGAAUUACAAGUUCGAUUAAUUCUUUUUGGUUUAUUGAUAUUCACAUAACCAAACGAAUUGCGACUCCGCGUUCCAAGGUUUAUUGUUGUCUUUUCUUUUUGGAUUUGGAACAAUCCCUUUUACCCACGGCUUAUAAAAAUUAUCAGUCUUUGUGACUGAUAUUAGGAAAAGACAAUCCUUUUUACCCACGGCUUAUAAAAAUUAUCAGUCUUUGUGACUGAUAUUGGGAAAAGACGAUCCCUUUUACCCACAGCUUAUAAAAAUUAUCAGUUUUUGUGACUGAUAUUGGGAAAAGACAAUCCCCUUUACCCACAGCUUAUAUAAAAAUUGUCAGUCUUUGUGACUGAGAUUGGGAAUCAUAACGCGUUGGUUAAAUUGGACACGGCUAAUACUUUGGUUGGAUGUUAAGUCUGUUAGAGAAAGAAGUAGAACACUGUGGUUGGAUUGGUCCUAACGGCUUGUAAAAGUCAUUAGUCUGUGUGACUGAUGCUGGUUGGAUUGGUUCUAGUUAUCCAAAGCUUAUAACAAUCAUCAGUCUGUGUGACUCAGAUUGUGAAAAAAACAAACCUUCUACCCACUAGCUCAAAAAAAAUCAGCAGUCUCUGUGACUGAUAUUGGGAAAUAUAAGACCUUGGGUGGAUUUAUCCACUGACUUAAAAAAAUCAGCAGUCUUUAUGACUGAGAUUGGGAAACAUAACGCGUUGGUUAAAUUGGACACGCUAACACUUUGGUUGGAUGUUAAGUCUUUUAGAGAAAGAAGCAGAACACUUUGGUUGGAUUGGUUCGAGUUACCCAAAGCUUGUAAAAAUCAUCAGUCUGUGUGACUGAGAUUGUGAAAAAACAAACUUUUUACCCAUUGGCUCAAAAAAAUCAGCAGUCUAUGUGACUGAUAUUGGGAAACAUAAGACCUUGGCUGGAUUUAUCCACUGACUUAAAAUUCAACAGUUUUUGUGACUGAGAUUGGAAAACAUAACACCUUCGUUGUAUUGGAUUUUGUACCCACGACUAAAACUUUGGUUGGAUGUUAAGUCAUUUGGACGAAAGAAGCAGAACAUUUUGGUUGGAUGUUAAGUCUUUUUGACGAAAGAAGCAGAACACUUUGCUUGGAUUGGUUUUAGUUACCCACAACUAAUAAAAAUCAUUAGUCUGUGUGACUGAGAUUGUGAAAAAACAAAUCUUUUACCCACUGGCUUAAAAAAAUCAUCGUUCUUUGUGACUGAGAUUGUGAAACAUAACAAACCCUUUACCCAUUGGCUUUUAAAAAAAAUCAUUAGUCUUUGUGACUGAGAUUGAGAAACAUAACACUUCGGUCGGAUAGGCUUAAGUACCCACGGCUAACACUUUGGUUGGAUGUUAAGUCAUUUAGACAGAAGAAGCAGAACACUUGUGUUAGAUUGGUUUUAGAGCUUAUAAAAAUCAUCAUCUCUGUGACAGAGAUUGGAGAAAAACAAACCCUUUACCUAUCGGCCCAAAAAAUUCAGCAGUCUUUGUGACUGAGAUUGUGAAACAUAAUACCUUGGUUGGAUUGGCUUUAGUACCCACAGCGAUCACUUUGGUUGAAUGUUAAAUCAUUUAGACGAAAGAAGCAUAACACUUUGGUUGGAUAUUAAGUCUUUUAGACAAAAGAAGCAGAACACUCUGGUUGGAUUGGUUUUAUUUACCGAGAGCUUAUGAAAAUUAUUAGUCUGUGUGACUGAGAUUAGAAGGAAAAACAAAUCCUUUACCCACUGGCUCCAAAAAUCAGCAGUCUUUGUGACUGAGGUUGGGAAACAUAACACCUUGGUUGGAUACCCACUGACUUAAAAAGAUCACCAGUCUUUGUGACUGAGAUCGUGAAACAUAACCCUUGGUUAGAUUGGCUUUAGUACCCACAACUAUCACUUUGUUUGGAUGUUAAAUCAUUUAGACGAAAGAAGCAUAACACUUUGGUUGGAUAUUAAGUCUUUUAGACAAAAGAAGCAGAACACUCUGGUUAGAUUGGUUUUAGUUACCGAGAGCUUAUAAAAAUCAUUAGUCUGACUGAGAUUGGAAAAAAACCAAAUCCUUUACCCAUUGGCUCCAAAAAUCAGCGGUCUUUGUGACUAGAUUGGGAAACAUAACACCUUGGUUGGAUUUACCCACUCACUUUAAAAAAUCAGCAGUCUUUGUGACUGAGAUUGUGAAACAUAACACCUUGGUUGGAUUGGCUUUAGUACCACGUCUAACACUUUGGUUCGACGUUAAGUCAUUUAGACGAAAGAUGCAUAACACUUGGGUUGAUUGGUUAUAGUUACCGUGAGCUUAUAAAACUCAUCAGUCUGUGUGAUUGAGAUUAGAUAAAACAAACUCUUUACCCAUUGGCUCAAAAAAGUCAGCAGUCUUUGUGACUGAGAUUGAGAAACAUUACACCUUGUUGGAUUUACCUACUGACUUAAAAAAAUCAGCAGUCAGUGAUCUUGAAUUUGGUGUUAAUGGUGUGUACUGUGUAGUUUCAAUUUAUCAUACACAUUGUUAAUUAUGUAGGCAGAAUCCAACAUGUGGCAUAGGCUCCCUGAUCUCUGCUACCAUAAAUUGUUUUUGUCAACAACCUGAACUUCCUAAAGAGUGAAUAAGCAGACAGACAAAAAGUGCAGCUGUGAAGAUCUUCCUAUGGAGCUUUGUAAACUAAGAAUGAAGAAGUUCCAAAAUAAUUAAAUCCAAAAGAUCUUCCCAUGGAGCUUGGUUGUGAAAAGGCUAACUGAGAUUUCUCCAACAUACACCCAUUGUUGCAAAAGCUUUCCCUGCGUUUUUGCAAACAAACGAAAUGUCACCAUGAUGUAUGAGAAUAGUUUCAAGAGCUUGGCUCGAGUUCUUUACCUUGUGGUGUCAAGUAACAGUGUGGCUAUGCCUUUUCUUCUGUUAGAAGCACAAUGUUUCCAAACUGAAUGGAGGUUGAAGGCGAGGAGGAGCUCUCUUUCUUUAUCUGUCUUUCAUCAUCAGGAGGAGCUAUAAGCUUAAAUGCUUCCUUAAUUGGCUCUGCAACUAGACAUCCAGAGAUCCUCUGAGAGGAAACGAAUAGAUAAACCUACAGAUAACAAGGUAGUCCUUGAAACAACUGAGAAAGUAAAUGGAGGCUAUUCACAACAUUUGGGCUAUAUCUCUUUCUUGUGAAUCUACUGAACGAGAUAAUCAACGAAAUUCCUUUCUAUA